rnacentral:rRNA from 1 species
GUGGGGAAUAUUGGGCAAUGGGGGAAACCCUGACCCAGCAACGCCGCGUGAGGGAAGAAGGUUUUCGGAUUGUAAACCUCUGUCCUUGGUGACGAAGGAAGUGACGGUAACCAAGGAGGAAGCCCCGGCUAACUACGUGCCAGCAGCCGCGGUAAUACGUAGGGGGCAAGCGUUGUCCGGAAUGAUUGGGCGUAAAGGGCGCGUAGGCGGCCUGGUAAGUCUGGAGUGAAAGUCCUGCUUUUAAGGUGGGAAUUGCUUUGGAUACUGUCGGGCUUGAGUGCAGGAGAGGUAAGUGGAAUUCCCGGUGUAGCGGUGAAAUGCGUAGAGAUCGGGAGGAACACCAGUGGCGAAGGCGACUUACUGGACUGUAACUGACGCUGAGGCGCGAAAGUGUGGGGAGCAAACAGGAUUAGAUACCCCUGUAGUCC